AACUACUGUGCAUCUAAAAAUCCUACAGGCAAGACAGUCUUUUGUUCCUUCCCUGGUGCACACAGAAACAGAACAUGGUGUGUUUUUUUUCAAAUGUUGUAGCUGUUCAAAUCUUGUCUAUCUAUUAUUUUUCCUGUGAAAUUUGACAUCUGAAAAAACAGUAGAAUGUUACCAGAGAUGGUAGGCAUGCUACAUCUUAGAAAGAGGGGAUGAAUUUCUGUUUAGGCUGGUUAUAUGUCACACAUAAAAGGCAUUCUCAAUCAGAAAAAAAGUGAUUGCUCAUUAGGCUGCAAUUUUCAGUCUUUUGCUAAAAAGUAGGAGUUUUUCUACAUCCAGAGCAGACUAGAUUUCAGUUCUUUGCAAGGUCAAAGGUAAAAAAGCAAAAGCAGCAGUUCAGUUCUUGUCUCUAUUUACUGUAAAGAUACUAACGAUACAAUCUGCUUUUCCUCUUUGCUAUUAGUUUACGGAAGGCAAUGUCUCCUGUUGUAGUUGUGAAGAAUUAGAACUUUGAAAAGGUCAUUCGGAAGUUUGGCCAGUCUUGAAGGAGGGAGGAGAAUUGGAUGAGCAGCUUGAGUGAGACCGCCUUUGGAAGGUUUUGAAGCAUAUGGGAAAACUAAAGUGUACGAGGCAGAAUUGGUGAAGCAAGGGCAUCGCAAGAAUUCAUCUGCGUUUUUCUGUAUGUAUUCAACCACAGAGUCAUCCUGCAGUGUAGGUUUGAAUGAGUUAUGGGACCAUAAAAAAAUACUUCAAUUCACAAGGCUAUCAGCUCUUUGUCAUGAAGCAAAAACACCUGCCGGAAGAGUUUUAUUCUUGAUAAUCACAGCACAAAUAGGCAUGGGACAAAGACAUCAUUUAAAGGGAUAUUUUUAUGCAGCAGGCAUGCUGCAGAGCAUCUGAGGAAUGAUAGUCUAAAUUUAGUUACUAAUUAGAAAAACACCUUUCACAGAUGUCAUUAAGCACCCAACAAUCUGGGAACUGUCUCUUUUAAAAAGGGAAUGUUAUACCCAUUAGUGAAGUACCCACCACAGGGUUUGACUUAUCUUGUCCAAUAGCUCCAGCAAUGGGUCAUUGCUCAUGUAGGUAACUUCUUCGUUUCCACUGAUAAAAUUAAUUCUUAGCUAUCUUAGGCUAAUACUGAAAUAUUGUUCUUGGUCAGAAAUCCCACUGAAGAAACUGCAGAAAUACAUGAGCCAGCAUUCUUCCAUCACUUUCCAGAGUUCUACAAAAUUUCCUCUUUAUCUUCUGUCUUUCAGAGCUUGAUUUCAUAUUUUUCUCCAAUAAUACGUGAUUCAGAAACUUCCUUUUUCAUACAUAAGAGCUAAAAUGCUGAGGUAUUCACGUGGUUCCAGCAGGCAGGUGCCUGAGAAGUCAUUUAUAGCAUAAGUAAAAUAGCAAAGUUGACACCUAGAAAUGAUUAAGUUGCAAUAAAACUGCAGUAUGGGGAAUGGGAUAAAUGUCACCAGUGGUGGGAAAUGGCUUUCUGUGUCACAUGAAAAAUCUUGAGUUUUCAAAAGAAAAGAAUGUCUCAAAUAUUUUAACUGAGAGAAAAAAACUGUUGUUAAAUGUUACAGUAAUCAUUUAUGUGAGUUGUGGUUCAGUGGCCAUAUGCACUCAGUUUUUUUCUUUGCACUGGGUCAUAUUUCCCAUGGUGUCUCAUUUUGGAGAGAAAAAUGGCUCAAGAAACUUGGGAAGGAUUGUAUGGCCACAGGCACAUUUCAGGAAACGUAAAGUGUACCUGCAUACCCUGGAAAUGGAAAAGUGUAAGGACAUGGGGCAUCUGUUCUGCAGCACUACUGGGGCACACUAGUUACACAUACCCUGAAACACUGGGUUCUUGGCCAACUCUUCAUUCCAAGCUUUCAUUCUUAGGCUCUCACUUUUCCAAAGAAAAAUAUGUAUUAUGUAUGGGAAAACUUGCCCUUUCAGGAAAAAAAAAAGGGGGGGAUCUUUAAUUUUGAGAUUGGAGAGAAAUUUUUCAGCUAGCCUUGGAAAACCUGAAUGAUACCCAUCAACAAAAUCCAUGCCUCCUUCACUGUUUGGGGGAGGGCGUUUG